UACAGAGGUGGCAAGCGUUGUUCGGAAUUACUGGGCGUAAAGGGCGCGUAGGCGGCUUGGUCAGCCCCGUGUGAAAUCCCUCGGCUCAACUGAGGAACUGCACGGGAAACUGCCUGGCUUGAGUUCGGGAGAGGGAAGCGGAAUUCCGGGUGUAGUGGUGGAAUGCGUAGAGAUCCUGAGGAACACCAGCGGCGAAGGCGGCAUCCUGGACUGGUCCUGACACUCAGGAGCGAAAGCGUGGGGAGCGAUCCGG
rnacentral:rRNA from 1 species